rnacentral:rRNA from 1 species
UACAGAGGUCUCAAGCGUUGUUCGGAUUUAUUGGGCGUAAAGAGCUUGUAGGCGGUUUGUCGCGUCUGCUGUGAAAAUCCGGGGCUCAACCCCGGACUUGCAGUGGGUACGGGCAGACUAGAGUGUGGUAGGGGAGACUGGAAUUCCUGGUGUAGCGGUGAAAUGCGCAGAUAUCAGGAGGAACACCGAUGGCGAAGGCAGGUCUCUGGGCCACUACUGACGCUGAGAAGCGAAAGCAUGGGGAGCGAACAGG